rnacentral:rRNA from 1 species
CACCGGCGGCUCGAGUGGUGGCCACUUUUAUUGGGUCUAAAGCGUCCGUAACCGGCUUGGCAAGUCCCCUGGGAAAUCUGGCGGCUUAACCGUCAGGCGUCCAGAGGAUACUGCCAGGCUUGGGACCGGGAGAGGUGAGAGGUACCUCAGGGGUAGGGGUGAAAUCUUGUGAUCCCUGAGGGACCACCAGUGGCGAAGGCGUCUCACUAGAACGGGUCCGACGGUCAGGGACGAAAGCUGGGGGCACGAACCGG